rnacentral:rRNA from 1 species
GCUGGCGGCAGGCCUAACACAUGCAAGUCGAGCGGAUGACGGGAGCUUGCUCCUGGAUUCAGCGGCGGACGGGUGAGUAAUGCCUAGGAAUCUGCCUGGUAGUGGGGGACAACGUUUCGAAAGGAACGCUAAUACCGCAUACGUCCUACGGGAGAAAGCAGGGGACCUUCGGGCCUUGCGCUAUCAGAUGAGCCUAGGUCGGAUUAGCUAGUUGGUGGGGUAAUGGCUCACCAAGGCGACGAUCCGUAACUGGUCUGAGAGGAUGAUCAGUCACACUGGAACUGAGACACGGUCCAGACUCCUACGGGAGGCAGCAGUGGGGAAUAUUGGACAAUGGGCGAAAGCCUGAUCCAGCCAUGCCGCGUGUGUGAAGAAGGUCUUCGGAUUGUAAAGCACUUUAAGUUGGGAGGAAGGGCAGUAAGCGAAUACCUUGCUGUUUUGACGUUACCGACAGAAUAAGCACCGGCUAACUCUGUGCCAGCAGCCGCGGUAAUACAGAGGGUGCAAGCGUUAAUCGGAAUUACUGGGCGUAAAGCGCGCGUAGGUGGUUCGUUAAGUUGGAUGUGAAAGCCCCGGGCUCAACCUGGGAACUGCAUCCAAAACUGGCGAGCUAGAGUAUGGUAGAGGGUGGUGGAAUUUCCUGUGUAGCGGUGAAAUGCGUAGAUAUAGGAAGGAACACCAGUGGCGAAGGCGACCACCUGGACUGAUACUGACACUGAGGUGCGAAA